UGUAGGAGCCGGCUUGCUGGCGAUCCAGGCGACGCGGUCUGUCAAAUGAACCGCGUCGCACGCAUCGCCAGCAAGCCGGCUCCCACA
rnacentral:misc_RNA from 1 species